rnacentral:rRNA from 1 species
AAUAGAUACCCGGGUAGUCCAUGCCGUAAACGUUGGGAACUAGAUGUGGGGACCAUUCCACGGUCUCCGUGUCGCAGCUAACGCAUUAAGUUCCCCGCCUGGGGAGUACGGCCGCAAGGCUAAAACUCAAAGGAAUUGACGGGGGCCCGCACAAGCGGCGGAGCAUGCGGAUUAAUUCGAUGCAACGCGAAGAACCUUACCAAGGCUUGACAUAUACCGGAAAGGUCUGGAAACAGUCCCCCCGCAAGGUCGGUAUACAGGUGGUGCAUGGUUGUCGUCAGCUCGUGUCGUGAGAUGUUGGGUUAAGUCCCGCAACGAGCGCAACCCUCGUCUUAUGUUGCCAGCGGUUCGGCCGGGGACUCAUAAGAGACUGCCGGGGUCAACUCGGAGGAAGGUGGGGAUGAGGUCAAAUCAUCAUGCCCCUUAUGUCUUGGGCUUCACGCAUGCUACAAUGGCCGGUACAAAGGGCUGCAAUACCGCGAGGUGGAGCGAAUCCCAAAAGCCGGUCUCAGUUCGGAUUGAGGUCUGCAACUCGACCCCAUGAAGUCGG